UCUCCGUUGGUGAACCAGCGGAGGGAUCAUUACCGAGUUUACAACUCCCAAACCCCUGUGAACAUACCAUUUGUUGCCUCGGCGGUGCCUGCUUCGGCAGCCCGCCAGAGGACCCAAACCCUUGAUUUUAUACAGUAUCUUCUGAGUAAUGACUAAAUAAAUCAAAACUUUCAACAACGGAUCUCUUGGUUCUG
rnacentral:misc_RNA from 1 species